UGCAGUCGACGGCAGCAUAGGAGCUUGCUCCUGAUGGCGAGUGGCGAACGGGUGAGUAAUAUAUCGGAACGUGCCCUAGAGUGGGGGAUAACUAGUCGAAAGACUAGCUAAUACCGCAUACGAUCUACGGAUGAAAGUGGGGGAUCGCAAGACCUCAUGCUCCUGGAGCGGCCGAUAUCUGAUUAGCUAGUUGGUGGGGUAAAAGCCUACCAAGGCAACGAUCAGUAGCUGGUCUGAGAGGACGACCAGCCACACUGGGACUGAGACACGGCCCAGACUCCUACGGGAGGCAGCAGUGGGGAAUUUUGGACAAUGGGGGCAACCCUGAUCCAGCAAUGCCGCGUGAGUGAAGAAGGCCUUCGGGUUGUAAAGCUCUUUUGUCAGGGAAGAAACGGUGGUAGCGAAUAACUACUACUAAUGACGGUACCUGAAGAAUAAGCACCGC
rnacentral:rRNA from 1 species